rnacentral:rRNA from 1 species
AAGUCUGACCGAGCAACGCCGCGUGAGUGAAGAAGGUUUUCGGAUCGUAAAACUCUGUUGUUAGAGAAGAACAAGGAUGAGAGUAACUGUUCAUCCCUUGACGGUAUCUAACCAGAAAACCACGGCUAACUACGUGCCAGCAGCCGCGGUAAUACGUAGGUGGCAAGCGUUGUCCGGAUUUAUUGGGCGUAAAGCGAGCGCAGGCGGUUUCUUAAGUCUGAUGUGAAAGCCCCCGGCUCAACCGGGGAGGGUCAUUGGAAACUGGGAGACUUGAGUGCAGAAGAGGAGAGUGGAAUUCCAUGUGUAGCGGUGAAAUGCGUAGAUAUAUGGAGGAACACCDGUGGCGAAGGCGGCUCUCUGGUCUGUAACUGACGCUGAGGCUCGAAAGCGUGGGGAGCAAACAGGAUUAGAUACCCUGGUAGUCCACGCCGUAAACGAUGAGUGCUAAGUGUUGGAGGGUUUCCGCCCUUCAGUGCUGCAGCUAACGCAUUAAGCACUCCGCCUGGG